GGGUGCGAUCAUACCAGCACUAAUGCACCGGAUCCCAUCAGAACUCCGCAGUUAAGUGUGCUUGGGCGAGAGUAGUACUAGGAUGGGUGACCUCCUGGGAAGUCCUCGUGUUGCAUCCCCCU
rnacentral:rRNA from 1 species